UAAACGAGGGAGCAAAAGCAGGACACAGAAAAGCGGCUCUCUGAUCCAAACAGCAGAGAACAUACAGAACGCCUUGGAUCCUUCUCAGAUUAUGCACCCCUCCAAGAAUUUUAGAAACGUGGACAUGGCUAAGCUAACAGAGGACAGCAUCGUCAACGAGAACCUGAGACUGUCCUCUCAGCUGAUGAACUGGCUGAACAGAGUGGUGGACGUGGGUAAAGGUAUCGCGAAUGGAGUCUGUCGAACAGUCAAACUCAUCUAAACCUGACCUGAUGGAGGGGGCGCCGGUUACUCAUGCUGGAGAACGAUGAUGCAUUGUGCUGUGUAGAAGCUCAUCUUUACGCUGAAGCAGGACCCCUAAUAUGAGAAAGAUCUGCUCUCAGAUCAGCCUGAAUGGGAAACAUCACCUCUUCCUGACGGACUUGAGUGAAUUAUUUU